AGAACCAGCAUUUUCCCCAUGACCUAGACUUGCAGAAGCACCCCAAAGCCCUCCGAUGCUGUUCAAUGAAUUAGUUCCUGUAUGCACACCACCAGACCCAGGAAAAGUCCUCAAGUGUGAGGAGUUUGUACCAGCAGAGUUGCCAACAUUUCCCCACAGAUUCUGAACCGAUGAGCUUAAAUUAGAACCAUUACCUCCACUGCCACCACCAUAUACCAUGGGGUUUGGGCUACCAUACCUAUUUAAAUUUCCACCAUACGAG
rnacentral:misc_RNA from 1 species